UCCCGGUUGAUCCUGCCAGAGGUUACUGCUAUCGGUGUUCGACUAAGCCAUGCGAGUCAUAUGUUCUUCGUGAACAUGGCGGACUGCUCAGUAACACGUGGAUAACCUGCCCUUAGGUUUGGCAUAACUCCGGGAAACUGGAGAUAAUUCCGAAUAGGUCACAUAUGCUGGAAUGCUUUUUGACCAAAAGACCUCGGUUGCCUAAGGAUGGAUCUGCGGUCUAUCAGGUAGUAGUGGGUGUAACGUACCUACUAGCCUACGACGGAUAUGGGUUGUGAGAGCAAGAGCCCAGAGAUGGAUUCUGAGACAUGAAUCCAGGCCCUACGGGGCGCAGCAGGCGCGAAAACUUUACAAUGCGGGAAACCGCGAUAAGGGGACACCGAGUGCCAGCAUUUAUGUUGGCUGUCCACAUGUGUAAACGGCAUGUGUUAGCAAGGGCCGGGCAAGACCGGUGCCAGCCGCCGCGGUAACACCGGCGGCCCGAGUGGUAAUCACUUUUAUUGGGUCUAAAGGGUCCGUAGCCGGUUUGAUCAGUUCUUCGGGAAAUCUGACAGCUCAACUGUUAGGCUUCCGGGGAAUACUGUCAGACUUGGGACCGGGAGAGGUAAGAGGUACUACAGGGGUAGGAGUGAAAUCUUGUGAUCCCUGUGGGACCACCAGUGGCGAAGGCGUCUUACCAGAACGGGUCCGACGGUGAGGGACGAAAGCUGGGGGCACG
rnacentral:rRNA from 1 species